rnacentral:rRNA from 1 species
GACGAACGCUGGCGGCGUGCUUAACACAUGCAAGUCGAGGGGUAACGAGAGGAAAGCUUGCUUUCCUUGUCGACGACCGGCGCACGGGUGAGUAACGCGUAUCCAACCUGCCCCCAACUAGGGAAUAACCUUGCGAAAGUAAGACUAAUACCCUAUAAUUUCCUCAGAUGUCAUCUGACGAGGAAUAAAGAUUUAUCGGUUGUGGAUGGGGAUGCGUCUGAUUAGCUUGUUGGCGGGGUAACGGCCCACCAAGGCAACGAUCAGUAGGGGUUCUGAGAGGAAGGUCCCCCACAUUGGAACUGAGACACGGUCCAAACUCCUACGGGAGGCAGCAGUGAGGAAUAUUGGUCAAUGGGCGGAAGCCUGAACCAGCCAAGUAGCGUGCAGGAUGACGGCCCUAUGGGUUGUAAACUGCUUUUAUACAGGAAUAAAGUUAGCCACGUGUGGUUAUUUGUAGGUACUGUAUGAAUAAGGACCGGCUAAUUCCGUGCCAGCCGCCGCCGUAA